rnacentral:rRNA from 1 species
GAGGAGACAUUUGUAGACACUACGCAGGUACACCACUGGGGAAGGCGGCUCACCAGCUCGAUACAGUUGCUCAUGGGGCGAAAGUGUGAGUAGCAAACAGGUUAAGAUACCCUGGUUGAUCUCCCUGUAAUCUAUGAGAGAUAACUGUUGGUCAGAAUACUGUUCGGUGGGGCAGCAAACGCAUUAAGCUCUCCGCUUAGGGAGUACGGUCGCACGAUUAAAAUUCAAAGGAAUUGACGGGGGCCCGCACAGCCGGUGGAGCAUUUGGUUUAAUUCGAAGCAACGCGCAGAACCUUACCAGCCCCUGACAUCCCGAUCGCGGUUACCAGAGAUGGUUUCCUUCAGUUAGGCUGGAUCGGUGCCAGGCGCUGCAUGGCUGUCGUCAGCUCGUGUCGUGAGAUGUUGGGUUAAGUCCCGCAACGAGCGCAACCCUCGCCCUUAGUUGCCAUCAUUCAGUUGGGCACUCUAAGGGGACUGCCGGUGAUAAGCCGAGAGGAAGGUGGGGAUGACGUCAAGUCCUCAUGGCCCUUACGGGCUGGGCUACACACGUGCUACAAUGGUGGUGACAGUGAGCAGCGAGACCGCGAGGUCGAGCUAAUCUCCAAAAGCCAUCUCAGUUCGGAUUGCACUCUGCAACUCGAGUGCAUGAAGUUGGAAUCGCUAGUGAUCGUGGAUCAGAAUGCCACGGUGAAUACGUUCCCGGGCCUUGUACACACCGCCCGUCACACCGUGGGAGUUGGUUUUACCCGAAGGUGCUGUGCUAACCGCAAGGAGGCAGGCAACCAACGGUAGGUUCCAGCCGAGGGG